AAUCUUGGACAAUGGGGGCAACCCUGAUCCAGCCAUGCCGCGUGAGUGAUGAAGGCCUUAGGGUCGUAAAGCUCUAUCGCCGGUGAAGAUAAUGACGGUAGCAGGUAAAGAAACUCCGGCUAACUCCGUGCCAGCAGCCGCGGUAAUACGGAGGGGGUUAGCGUUUUCGGAAUUACUGGGCGUAAAGCGCAUGUAGGCGGACUGGAAAAUUGGGGGUGAAAUCCCAGGGCUCAACCCUGGAUCUACCUCCAAAACUAUCAGUCUUGAGUUCGAGAGAGGUGAGUAGAAUUCCGAGUGUAGAGGUGAAAUUAGUAGAUAUUCGGAGGAACACCAGUGGCGAAGGCGGCUCACUGGCUUGAUACUGACGCUGAGGGUGAAAAAGUGAGGAGCAAACACAAAAGAUACCCUGGUACUCCACACCCUA
rnacentral:rRNA from 1 species